rnacentral:rRNA from 1 species
UACAGAGGUCUCAAGCGUUGUUCGGAUUCAUUGGGCGUAAAGGGCGCGUAGGCGGCGGGGCAAGUCGGGUGUGAAAUCUCAGAGCUCAACUCUGAAACUGCACUCGAUACUGCUUUGCUUGAGGACUGGAGAGGAGAUUGGAAUUCACGGUGUAGCAGUGAAAUGCGUAGAUAUCGUGAGGAAGACCAGUGGCGAAGGCGGAUCUCUGGACAGUUCCUGACGCUGAGGCGCGAAAGCGUGGGGAGCAAACAGG